GAAAGUAGCUCAGCGGUUAGAGCGCUGCGCUCAUAACGCAGAGGUCCCGGGUUCAAUUCCCGGCUUUC
rnacentral:tRNA from 1 species